rnacentral:other from 1 species
AGCUGCCUGCCUUGUUGGUGAUAGAAAUUAAAAUUUGUUCCGACCAUUUUGAUCCUGGGAGCCAGCGUUAACCAGGGGUUGAGUGCCCGCAAGGGAAACCUGAACCUGCUUACAAGGCGCCCACCUAUAAACAAGGGAUUAAAGUUUAUUUCUACACGGCAAGGUGGGAUCCAA